GCAGUCGCCGCGGUAAUACGAAGGGUGCAAGCGUUAAUCGGAAUUACUGGGCGUAAAGCGUGCGUAGGCGGUUUGUUAAGUCUGCUGUGAAAUCCCCGGGCUCAACCUGGGAACUGCAUCCAAAACUGGCGAGCUAGAGUAUGGUAGAGGGUGGUGGAAUUUCCUGUGUAGCGGUGAAAUGCGUAGAUAUAGGAAGGAACAUCAGUGGCGAAGGCGACCACCUGGACUGAUACUGACACUGAGGUGCGAAAGCGUGGGGAGCAAACAGGAUUAGAUACCCGGGUAGUCCCUGUCUCUUAUAC
rnacentral:rRNA from 1 species